rnacentral:rRNA from 1 species
UGAGCAAUCUGCCCUUCUCAUCGGAAUAAGCGUUGGAAACGACGUCUAAUGCCGAAUACGACCUCCCUUCGCAUGAUCGGAGGUGGAAAGCUCCGGCGGAGAAGGAUGAGCUCGCGGCCUAUCAGCUAGUUGGUGUGGGUAAUGGCCCACCAAGGCGACGACGGGUAGCCGG